UACAUGGCAGAGGGGCAUUGCUGGCACAUGAUGGCAUAUAUCACAUGGGUAGAUGUGCAGGUGAACGAGCCCCUGAUGGCGUGGCUUAUGUGAUUAGGUCCUAUGAUGGUGUCACUUGAAUAGAUAUCUGGACACAGUUGGCAUCCAUCUUCUUACAGUUGCAAGGGUAGUUUGCUGGGUUAU